rnacentral:pre_miRNA from 1 species
CAACUACUCCCUCUGUCCCAAAAUUCUUGUCUUAGAUUUGUCUAGAUACAGAUGUAUCUAAUACUAAAAUGUGACUUGAUACAUCCGUAUCUAGACAAAUCUAAGACAAGAAUUUUGGGACGGAGGGAGUACUUU